ACAACUUGGCUGCUGCUUGAGCCAAUGCCUGAACCACCUGCCAGCAUUGCCAUCAAACUUCCACCAUGCACCCUGCCUUCUGGUACAAAGACUGACACCGUUGGCAACCCUGGUUCCCCAACAGGGGUAUGGGAAUUUGGGACCCCAAAAGUUUUCAUGUCUGAAGUAGUUUUGCUUGCCAAAGCCACAAUGUUAGUUCCCAUCUUCACAGUAUCCACAUUCAUGUCCUCCGCAAUGACAGCUUCUUUCAUCUUUUCUGGCUGGCUAACUUUGGGGUCCUGAAUGAUGGGUCCCAAAGUGACACCACCAUGAACCCUCUUAUCCU
rnacentral:misc_RNA from 1 species